UACGUAGGGCGCAAGCGUUAUCCGGAAUUAUUGGGCGUAAAGAGCUUGUAGGCGGUUUGUCGCGUCUGCCGUGAAAAUUCGAGGCUCAACCUCGAACUUGCGGUGGGUACGGGCAGACUAGAGUGUGGUAGGGGAGACUGGAAUUCCUGGUGUAGCGGUGAAAUGCGCAGAUAUCAGGAGGAACACCGAUGGCGAAGGCAGGUCUCUGGGCCACUACUGACGCUGAGAAGCGAAAGCAUGGGGAGCGAACAGG
rnacentral:rRNA from 1 species